rnacentral:rRNA from 1 species
CAUGAAGCUGGAAUCGCUAGUAAUCGCGGAUCNGAAUGCCGCGGUGAAUACGUUCCCGGGUCUUGUACACACCGCCCGUCACACCAUGGGAGUCGGAAAUGCCCGAAGUCGGUGACCUAACUGAAAGGAAGGAGCCGCCGAAGGCAGGUCUGGUGACUGGGGUGAAGUCGUAACAAGGUACC